rnacentral:lncRNA from 1 species
AUUUUUUCUUCCAGUGUGACUCUCGAUCGACGAUGGAUCUAUUUUUAUUAACGGAGACAAACUACAGCGUUGAAAGUUCUAUUCCUGACGCGACUCCCACGGACUCGAAAAUCACGAGGGAACACAAGGAUUGCCUGACGGUCUCCGCGUGAUGGAACUUCCCCCGGGUGACGGACAUCCUCUCCAAGAUGACCCAUCUUCAGCCGUGAGCAAACUGGACUCCUCCCGCGAAUAAAGGCGGCAAUCGGGGGGCAUGCGGAUGUGCCAGACGGCGUGGGACGAGCGAUGCGCGUGUCGCGGCGCGCUCGAUGGUGGCGCCGGGCGCUGAGCCGGGCGGGCGGCGAGUGCGUUGCGGGAGCCGGGCGUCGGCGCGCGCCCUCUGGCGGCAUGCGAAGGAAGCGGACGCCGGUUUCGUGAGCGAUGUCGGGCUAGGACUCGGCCGUCCUAUGGGGAAGCUCAACCUGGGCGCCGGAAGCAUAGUCGUCUGUUUUCUCGUCGGCUUCGUCUUGGGGCUCGCCAAGAGAGCUUCGCGCUCCGUCGAGCCUCGUUCCGCUGUCGUCUUCCUCUACCAUGAGCAGUGCUCGCAGCAGCCGCGCUCCCCAUUCAACCUGAGCGAGAUCCUCGCUGCCGAGGUGAAGGACGUCCAAUUCAGGACUGUGCCCAAGUCAGAAAUGUGCAAUUCGACAUCGAGCAGAGCUGCCGCUUUUUUGAACGCUGUCAAGGACCCUAAAACUAGGGUCAUAGUCGGCUCCCUUGAUUCCCCACUUUGUGGUCUCGCGCGGUCUUUUACGGAGCUACACAACGUCUCUUUUGUCACUUGGAGCUGUCCUGAGAUGUCAAGCGAUUCGCCGAAUCUCGUAAGCAUCCUCCCGCCGAAGCGGGUUAUCAUGAGUGCUAUCGUGAACGCCAUAAGUACAAUCCGAUGGAAAUCCGUCAGUAUCAUAACCAAUUCAGAUGAAAACUGGUGGUCGGAUCUAGCCUUCCGUCUCGGUUUUGCAAUCAAAGCAGCCAAUCGAACUCUAGUCAAAAAUUUUAUCUUCCUCACAAGAAAUGACUCUCAGGAAUUGUUGGAACGAAACAUUUCAAAAUUAAAACUAUCAAUCAAUACCGGUGUGAUCCUCUGCAUGCCGUUCGGCGAGGCCCUGUCGCAGCGGCUCUUCAAAUCCCUGGCCCGGCGAGGGGCGCUCCCAGCCUCGAUCCUCCUCCUGGACCUCUUGGCCGACUCCCCGCAGCCGCACCUCCGCCUCGCCUUCGACCACCGGGGUAGGCAACCCGCCGAUGCCGACCCCGUCCGUUCCCCGGCGACCAACGCGAGCAGCACCACCCCCGUAUCCAAUAGCAAUAUUCCUUACCCUCCCCCGUCUCCGGACGUCCUCGAGUUCUUCAGGAGGAUCCAUGGCGGCCUCCUGGUUUUUACCACCAGUGAUCUCGUCGGCCUCCGAUCGAGCUCGAGCGAGUUAGAGUACCUGUUCAAAAGCUCUCUGAAAGCGGUGAUAAAUGUGACCCAGUUCUCGGAGAGCCAUAGAUUCCAUUUCGUAGUGGCGGAUGUAAAUAAAACCCUAGCGGACAAACCCAGUGCAAUUAGUUGGCGCCCCGUUAUUAGCAUAAACUGCGUUUUCAAAAACUGUGCCACCAGAGAUAAUGUCCAGUUCAAGACCGAAUUCCUGAUUCCGAACGCAACGGUCUGGAUUCGACGGAUAUCACACGGAACGUUGCUAGCCAUCAUCAUCCCGGCGCAGCCUGUGAUGACGUCACUUUUUGCAUAG